UCCACCCUCUCUGCCCCCUGGUAUUGAAGGAUGGCAGGUUAAACAAAAUAAAGAAGAUGGUGGAGUUUCGCACCGUCACGUGGGUCAGGUCUGCCGACUUCCAAGGACCCACAGAAACUUCUCUGGCAGAAACCAUGCUCACAGACAAGGCUGCUUAUCUGGAGAAAUUGCUCAAACUGAUCAAAAGGGCGAGGGCUUUCC